UCCCGACGGUCCAAGUCGCAGCCACAAUUAUUGGGUCUAAAACAUUCGUAGCUUGCUUUUUAAGUUUCUUGUGAAAUCCGGUAUCUUAAGUAUCGGUCGUGCAAGAAAUACUGAGAAGCUAGAGAUCGGAGGACGUGAAGAGUACAGUUGAGGUAGUGGUAAAAUACGUUAAUCUUAACUGGACUAACAACAGCGAAGGCACUUCACGACGACGAAUCUGACAGUGAGGGAUGAAAGCGAGGGGCGCAAAAUG
rnacentral:rRNA from 1 species